AUUGAACGCUGGCGGCAUGCUUUACACAUGCAAGUCGAACGGCAGCGCGGGCUUCGGCCUGGCGGCGAGUGGCGAACGGGUGAGUAAUAUAUCGGAACGUACCCAAGAGUGGGGGAUAACGUAGCGAAAGUUACGCUAAUACCGCAUACGAUCUAAGGAUGAGAGCAGGGGAUCGCAAGACCCUGUGCUCCUGGAGCGGCCGAUAUCUGAUUAGCUAGUUGGUGAGGUAAAGGCUCACCAAGGCAACGAUCAGUAGCUGGUCUGAGAGGACGACCAGCCACACUGGAACUGAGACACGGUCCAGACUCCUACGGGAGGCAGCAGUGGGGGAUUUUGGACAAUGGGGGCAACCCUGAUCCAGCAAUGCCGCGUGAGUGAAGAAGGCCUUCGGGUUGUAAAGCUCUUUUGUCAGGGAAGAAAAGGUCGUGGCUAAUAUCCACGACUGCUGACGGUACCUGAAGAAUAAGCACCGGCUAACUACGUGCCAGCCGCCGCCGUAAUAC
rnacentral:rRNA from 1 species